UCCCAUCCCAUUGUUCCCAUCCCAUCCCAUCCCAUUGUUCCCAUCCCAUCCCAUCCCAUCCCAUUGUUCCCAUCCCAUCCCAUCCCAUCCCAUCCCAUUGUUCCCAUCCCAUCCCAUCCCAUUCCAUCCCAUUGUUCCCAUCCCAUCCCAUCCCAUCCCAUCCCAUUGUCCCCAUCCCGUCCCGUUCUUCCCACCCCAUUGCUGCUGCCCUCACUCUGUGCCCCGCUCCAACCCCAAAUUCCGCACCCCCCCCUUGGGGUCUGACCCGGGGCAGGCAGCGCUCCGGGGGGGGGGCACCGUGCCCCAUGGGGACGGGGCAGGAGCCUUGGGCCCCCCAGGUUCUGCUCCUUUGGGGCCGACCCCACAUCCGUGGGGCCGAGCGCGCAUCCUUUGGGGCGUCCUCCCCCUAUGGGGCCGUGCUCCAGCCCCAGCUCUCCCAGGCCCGCUGCCUCUGGUUCCGGGAGUUAAUUAACGCAGCUAAUUAGCACGAUGUUAGACAGCUCUCCCUCUGCCCACAGGGUGGCGCUCUGGAUUGCGGUGCCCUGCCCCAUAGAGCGGAGAGCUGCUAUAGGGCCGGCUGUGCCCCAUAGCGCAAGGAGCUGCUAUAGGGCCGGCUGUGC
ensembl:lncRNA